rnacentral:misc_RNA from 1 species
CUGAGUUAGGGUCUUUCUGGCCCGACCUCCAACCCUUUGUUUACUAUACCCAAUGUUGCUUUGGCGGGCCUGCCUUUUGGGGCUGCCGGGGGCAUUACUGCCCUUGACCUGUGCCUGCCAGGAGCCUUCUUUAAAUUCUGUGUUCAACUGUGUUGUCUGAGUCCCAAUAUCAAAAUAUCAA